rfam:Acidobacteria bacterium 13_2_20CM_58_27 13_2_20cm_scaffold_25, whole genome shotgun sequence.
CUCCGUGAGACCCGCCCGGGGAACUGGUUCGCUCCACCCGGUAGCAAUCAGAGCAGCGGUGGAGGCGACGAGACUGCUGGAGCCUCUGGUGCAGAAGGUCGCGAAGGCGACUCGGCAAGCAUGCAGGUGGUGAACGCAA